GUGCUGGCUUUGGCAGCACAUACACUGAAACUGGAAUGAUACAGAGGAGAUCAGCAUGGUCCCUGUACAAGGAUAACACACAAAUUCGUGAUGUGUUCCAUAUUUUU